GUUCUUCAUCAAUGAUUUGUGAUGAUGAAGAUGCUCCGAAGUUCCACGAUGCCAUUAUGAAAUAGUUGAAGUUGGAAGCAAUAGAAGAGCAAUAGAGGAGUAAUACAAGAGCAAUAGAAGAGCAAUAGAGGAGCAAUAGAAAAGCAAUAGAGGUAGGUGAAGAAGAAGAUUACNAGACCACAAAUAAGUGUAUAACGGACAACGUAAUAAUGGAAUGAUUAACUAUUGGUAUAUAUAUUGAAAUGUUAAACUUUAUUUUCACUAUCCUUAUUAAAUAACAGCAUGCAUGCAUUGAGCUUUCAUU
rnacentral:lncRNA from 1 species